GUAUUUCCGAUUUUAUCUAAUCUAUCGGGAGGCCUAUUUCAGCAUCACAAACUUUUUUGUUUUCACGCCGAGAGGCUCUUAACAAUAUUUAGGUUAUGAAAGAAUAUGAAAAUAAAAAAAAAAAAUUUUUUUUAUUUGAAAAAAAAAAA